AUUGAACGCUGGCGGCAGGCCUAACACAUGCAAGUCGAGCGGUUGAGGUAGCUUGCUACCGAUGCAGCGGCGAACGGGUGAGCAAUACAUGGGAAUCUGCCUGGUAGUGGGGACAACGUUUCGAAAGGAACGCUAAUACCGCAUACGCCCUACGGGGAAAGGGGGGAUCGCAAGACCUCCCGCUAUCAGAUGAGCCCAUG
rnacentral:rRNA from 1 species